rnacentral:rRNA from 1 species
UACGUAGGGUGCAAGCGUUGUCCGGAAUUAUUGGGCGUAAAGAGCUUGUAGGCGGUUUAUCGCGUCUGCUGUGAAAUUUCGGGGCUCAACCCCGAACUUGCAGUGGGUACGGGCAGACUAGAGUGUGGUAGGGGAGACUGGAAUUCCUGGUGUAGCGGUGAAAUGCGCAGAUAUCAGGAGGAACACCGGUGGCGAAGGCGGGUCUCUGGGCCGAUACUGACGCUGAGGAGCGAAAGCGUGGGGAGCAAACAGG